CAGGAUAUUCCAGUUUCUACUUUCUUUGAUCGAGAUCUUCGUCGUCGUCGCGAUUCACCGGUCUUCGGGAGGCGAAAGAUUGAUCGGAUUUUCUGGGGUUUCUCAGAAAAUAGAAUCAAUGGCGGGAGGUGGAAGUUCCAUGCUCUGUUCUCUUCUCCUUUUCACUGUGAUCCUCUCGCUUCAAGAAAUGUACCGUUCUAAGUUAGCUUCUUCAGAGUUGUUCACCAUCCUCGGAGGAUUCACCAGCUCCAUCCUCUUUCUGGUGUCUCUGACAUUCAUUGGUAAUUUCCAGGAAUCGUCCGGCAUGAAAACUGGUUGGGGCGCCGUCAUACUGGCAGAAGCAAUUGCCCUUAUUGCUGCUAGCACCGUUCAUCGAGUUUGUAUCACAACCUGCUUCUUGUUCUCGGCUGGACUGUUAUACGAGAUGAACAAGAUUUCGGGAUACAUGGUUUCCAAAACCGAAUCGAAAUCUAAAAGGCACUGAUCCGGAGAUUGCAAUCGGUAUUUGACUAUGCAGGGAUGAUUUCGCCGCUUUGAACCAAGAAUAUCCGUUCUACGUCUCCAAAUUAUAGAUAUCACACGCAUCAAAGGGAAGAAAAAGAGAAACAAAAACAGCCUCUGCUGUUUUAUCUGCAAAGUUCUUUCGGACAACUGGUGGACA